rnacentral:tRNA from 1 species
GCCAUCAUGGUGUAGUGGUUUGAAUGUUGGACUACAACUCUAGAGACCAGGGUUCAAAUUCCCUCUUGGCC